AGGGGAAUCCGAGUGACGUCCGGGGAGUAACUGGAGCGGUGGAGAGCUACAGCGGCUCGAUCGACAUGGAGGCCAAGGCCGCCGCCGUGUCCCUGUCGGCGCCGCUGCCCCGGUGCCGCGUCGCCGGCGGCAACGGCCCGCUCGCGUGCUCUGCGUCUGCGCGCAGGUCGCGCAGGUGCGGGUAUCACCAUGGCGCUCCUCUUAUAUCGCUCGCUCGCCCCUCCUCCUCUGCUCGCUCCUUCCCCGCCGGCCGCGUCUACGCGAUGGCCGCGGCCGCCACGGCGCCGGUGAAGGAGCAGGACCUCGUCUUCGUUGCCGGUGCCACGGGGAAGGUCGGCUCCCGAACUGUAAGGUACUGCUCUUCGACUCUGCUCGAUCGCCGCCGGCAGUUUGCGGUUCCGUCCGCUGCUGCAUGUGUAAUGCAUUUGGGAAAUGAUGCCAUGCGCGUGUAGGGAGCUCAUCAAGCUUGGCUUCCGCGUCCGCGCGGCCGUCCGGAGCAAGGAGAGGGCGUCGCCCCUCGUGCAGAGCGUGGAGCGGCUGGAGCUCGGCGAAGGGAGCGCCCCGGCCUCGAGGCUGGAGCUGGUCGAGUGCGACCUGGAGAAGCAGGGCGAGGCGGGCAUCAAGGCGGCCAUCGGCGACGCGGCGCUCGUGGUGUGCUCCAUCGGCGCCAGCGAGAAGGAGAUCCUCGACGUCACGGGGCCCUACCGCAUCGACUACGUGGCCACCGCCAACCUCGUGCGCGCCGCGGCCAAGGCCGGCGUCGAGCACUUCGUCCUCGUCACCUCCCUCGGCACCACCAGAUUCGGCUUCCCGGCCGCCCUCCUCAAGUAAAAACGCCGACAGAUCAACACCACUUCUUUCUUUCGAACCAGACAUCGUUUUGGCCAAGGAUUAAUGGAGUUUUGACAUGAUCGAUCGAGCAGCUUGUUCUGGGGCGUUCUGUGCUGGAAGAAGAUGGCGGAGGAGGCGCUGGUGGCCAGCGGCGUCCCGUACACGAUCGUGCGGCCGGGGGGCAUGGAGAGGCCGACGGACGCGUACAAGGAGACGCACAACCUGGUGGUGUCGCCGCGGGACACGUACGUCGGCGGCCUGGUGUCCAACCUGCAGGUCGCGGAGCUUAUCGCGUGCGUGGCCAAGAACCGGAGGGCGGCGUACUGCAAGGUGGUGGAGCUAGUGGCUGAGACCACCGCGCCGCUGCUGCCCACGGAGGACCUCCUCGCCAGAGUCCCCUCCGACCCCGGCAGGGCACCGCCCCCGGCGAAGGAGUCGCCUCCCGCAGCAGCGGCGGCACCAGCACCAGUUGCAGCACCUCCAGCACCGGCACCGGCACCGGCACCGGCACCACCAGCAGUUGCAGCACCUCCAGCACCGGCACCGGCACCAGCAGCUGCUGCAGCACCUCCAGCACCGGCACCGACAGCUGAACCAGCACCAGCUGCAGCAGCAAAAGCAGAGCGGCCACUCUCGCCCUACGCGGCGUAAGUGAACCGCGGAACUGAUAUCCUGAUGGACUCGUGGUAAUGGACGAUCAUUUCCUCAUACAUUU
rnacentral:lncRNA from 1 species